CUAUUUCUGCUAAUUCCGGCUAUAUCUUUUGGUGUUUAUUACUAUUAUACUUUUUAAAAUAUUACACUUUUUGUGUCCCAUUGAAAUGAAUGGAAAACUUCCACAAUUCUGCUAAAACUUGCUUGUUUUUGAAACAUAACUACUUCCUCAUACUUUCACCUAGAAACUCCAUUCAAACUUUAAAAUGUUCUCAGAUUAUUGGGCUAUUCCUGUGUGAUUCAGCUUUUUCAGACCUUCUACCGUUUUAAUCUUAUCUCUCUUUAAGUUUUCAGUUGCAGCUUUGUGAUUUUUCAGAAAAUACAUGCGUUGCUAUGGUUGCUAUGCAAUUAACUCACAGUGAGCGCUGGUCUGUUCUGAAUUUUCUCUUCAUGUCCGAACAACUUCUUGCUACUCGCUCAAUUUCCACUCAACCCCCACAAAUUAUACAUCAAAACGUAGGUAUUUUUGCUGGCUUUCAGACAAUGUUACUAUCUUUAUUGUGAGAUUUACCGUUUUUUCGCAAUUUGCCUCGAAGUGACACAUGGUCUGGUUACUCCCCAUUCAAAGUCUACGGGGAGGUUUUGAAAUUCAGAGCGGAAAUUCUGUAACGGGAGGCAUUUUCAAAUCGCCAUAUCUCUUUAACAAAGCAAAGUUAGGACAUGAGGCUUGUGCCAAUAUAUCUUCAGACACUGCUGACACUCACAGUGGAAGCCGUUUUUACAAUUAUCUUACCGUUGAGCAAUCAAUUACGUUUGUUUGAGGGGUGGAAAUCUGUCCUUCUCUCAGUCUUCAAACUCUGGAAAUGAAGCCGUUUCUUCUCUCGUCAUAUCUCCGCGACGGAGGUAGAACGAGCUAUGAAAAUCGCAGUCAAAAUACACCAAAGUCCGCUGAUUCACCCAGUACAAGAAUUAUGCUGCUAGCCCUCCUAGUUUUUGAGUUACACAACGUUUUGUAACUCCAAAAAACGGCGUUUUUCGCCUCUCACCGCGAUCUAUUUUCUGACUGCCCAAGUAUCUGUCUUUCAGAUCACCGCCCCCUUUCCAGGUGGCGCAAUCAGUAAUGACACGGCUCUGCAGCUCAAAGGUCGUGGGUUCAAUCCCACC
ensembl:lncRNA